rnacentral:rRNA from 1 species
AACGAACGCUGGCGGCAUGCCUAACACAUGCAAGUCGAACGAGACCUUCGGGUCUAGUGGCGCACGGGUGCGUAACGCGUGGGAACCUGCCUUUAGGUUCGGAAUAACGCCUCGAAAGGGGUGCUAAUACCGGAUAAUGUCCUCGGACCAAAGAUUUAUCGCCUUUAGAUGGGCCCGCGUUGGAUUAGCUAGUUGGUGGG